UGUGGGAGCGAGCCUGCUCGCGAUAGCGAUAUGUCAGGAACCUUUGCAUCAACUGACACACCGCUAUCGCGAGCAGGCUCGCUCCCACA
rnacentral:misc_RNA from 1 species